GAACAGAGUAAAUAGGCAUUUUAAUGGUAACUUGUGUAAUAGACACCGGCUGGAAUGCAAUUUUAACCAAUCAGUAUUCAGGAUUAGACCCAACUGUUGUAUAAAUAACUUGAAUCCAUUGUAUUUUUAUUUAUUUUAUUUCACCUUUAUUUGACCAGGUAGGCUAGUUGAGAACAAGUUCUCAUUUAAAACUGUGACCUGGCCAAGAUAAAGCAAAGCAGUGCGACACAAACAACAACACAGUCAAUAACACAAUAGAGAAAAAGUCCAUAUACAGUGUGUGCAAAUGAGGUAAGAUAAGGAAGGCAAGGAAAUAAAUAAGCCAUAGUGGUGAAAUAAUUACAAUUGAGCAAUUAAACACUAGAGUGAUAGAUGUGCAGAAGAUGAAUGUGCAAGUACAGAUACUGGGCUGCAAAGGAGCAAAUAAAAAAUAAAUAAGAGUAUGGGGAUGAAGUAGUUGGAUGGGCUAUAUACAGAUGCAAUGAUCUGUGAGCUGCUCUGACAGCUGGUGCUUAAAGUUAGAGAGGGAGAUAUGAGUCUCCAGCUUCAGUGAUUUUUGCAGUUCGUUCCAGUCAUUGGCAGCAGAGAACUGGAAGGAAAGGCGGCCAAAGGAAGAAUUGGCUUUGGGGGUGACCAGUGAAAUAUACCUGCUGGAGUGCGUGCUAUGGGUGGGUGCUGCUAUGGUGACCAGUGAGCUGAGAUAAGGCGGGGCUUUACCUAGCAAAGACUUAUAGAUGACCUGGAGCCAGUGGGUUUGGCGAUGAAUAUGAAGUGAGGGCCAGCCAACGAGAGCAUAUAGGUCACAGUGGUGGGUAGUAUAUGGGGCUUUGGUGACAAAACGGAUGGCACUGUGAUAGACUGCAUCCAAUUUGCUGAGUAGAGUGUUCGGAGGCUAUUUUGUAAAUGACAUCGCCGAAGUGACCGCGGCAGCUUUCCAAUCUUUGGGGAUGUCAGACGAUACCAAAGACAGGUUAAACAGGCUAGUAAUAGGGGUUGCAACAAUUUCGGCAGAUCAUUUUAAAAAGAGAGGGUCCAGAUUGUCUAGCCUGGCUGAUUUGUAGGGGUCCAGAUUUUGCAGCUCUUUCAGAACAUCAGCAAUCUGGAUUUGGGUGAAGGAGAAAUGGGGGAGGCUUGGGCAAGAUGCUGUGGGGGGUGCAGGGCUGUUGACCGGGGUAGGGGUAACCAGGUGGAGAGCUUGGCCAGCCGUAGAGAAAUGCUAAUUAAAAUUCCCAAUUAUCGUGGAUUUAUCGGUGGUGACAGUGUUUCCUAGCCUCAGUGCAGUGGGCAGCUGGGAGGAGGUGCUCAUGUUCUCCAUGGACUUUACAGUGUCCCAGAACUUUUUGGAGUUUGUGCUACAGGAUGCAAAUUUCUGUUUGAAAAAGCUAGGCUUUGCUUUCCUACCUGCCUGUGUAUAUUGGUUCCUAACUUCCCUGAAAAGUUGCAUAUCGCGGGGGCUAUUCGAUGCUAAUGCAGUACACCACAGGAUGUUUUUGUGCUGGUCAAGGGCAGUCAGGUCUGGAGUGAACCAAGGGCUAUAUCUGUUCCUGGUUCUAAAUUUUUUGAAUGGGGCAUGCAUAUUUAAGAUGGUGAGGAUAGCACUUAAAAAAAAUAACCAGGCAUCUUCUACUGACGGAAUGAGGUCAAUAUCCUUCCAGGAUACCCGGGCCAGGUCGAUUAGAAAGUCCUGCUCGCUGAAGUGUUUUAGGGAGCGUUUGACAGUGAUGAGGGGUGGUCGUUUGACUGCAGACCUAUUAUGGACGCAGGCAAUGAGGCAGUGAUCGCCGAGAUCCUGGUUGAAGACAGCAGAGGUGUAUUUGGAGGGCAGGUUGAAUAGGAUGAUGUCUAUGAGGGUGCCCAUGUUGACGGAUGUGGGGUUGAACCUGGUAGGUUCAUUGAUCAUUUAUGUGAGAUUGAGGGCAUCAAGCUUCGAUUGUAGGAUGGCUGGGUUAUUAAGCAUGUCCCAGUUUAGGUCACCUAACAGCACAAGCUCUGAAGAUAGAUGGGGGGCAAUCAAUUCACAAAUGGUGUCCAGGGCACAGCUGGGGGCAGAAGGUGGUCUAUAGCAAGCGGCAGCGGUGAGAGUCUUGUUUCUGGAAAGGUGGAUUUUUAAAAGUAGAAGCUCAAAUUGUUUGGGCACAGACCUUGAUAGUAAGACAGAACUCUGCAGGCUAUCUCUGCAGUAGAUUGCAACUCCGCCCCCUUUGGCAGUUCUAUCUUGUCGGAAAAUGUUAUAGUUAGGGAUGGAAAUGUCAGGGUUUUUGGUGGCCUUCCUAAACCAGGAUUCAGACACGGCUAGGACAUCCGGGUUGGCAGAGUGUGCUAAAACAGUGAAUAAAACAAACUUAGGGAGGAGGCUUCUAAUGUUAACAUGCAUGAAACCAAGGCUUUUACGGUUACAGAAUUAACAAAUCAGAGCGCCUGGGGAAUGGGAGUGGAGCUAGGCACUGCAGGGCCUGGAUUAACCUCUACAUCACCAGAGGAACAGAGGAGGAGUAGGAUAAGGGUACGGCUAAAGGCUAUAAAAACUGGUCGUCUAGUACGUUCGGAACAGAGAGUAAAAGGAGAAGGUUUCUGGGCGCAGUAGAAUAGAUUCAAGCCAUAAUGUACAGACAAAGGUAUGGUAGGAUGUGAAUACAGUUGAGGUAAACCUAGGCAUUGAGUGACGAUCUGAGAGGUAUUGUCUCUAUUUAAACCAGGUGAGGUUACCGCAUGUGUGGGAGGUGGAAGAAAAGUGUUAGCUAAGGCAUACUGAGCAGGGCUGGAGGCUCUACAGUGAAAUUACACAAUAAUCACUAACCAAAACAGCAAUUUACAAGGCAUAUUGACAUUAGGGAAACCAGUCGCCUACUGCAGCAGGCAUUUGAGUGAUGCCGAACCAGGGCACGCUCAGAUUGAAAAAGUGUGUAUAGCGAGCGUGUGGGCUUGCGAACGCUUCGAGAAGUACCUUUACGGAAUAAAUAUCUUCAGGCUGGUCACCGACCUUAAAACCCUUGUGCCCCUCAUUAGCAGCAAGGACUUGGACAAUGUUUCUAUCAGAUGUCAAAGACUGUUGAGGUUGAGUUACAGUGGAAUCGUAGAGUACGCACCAGGAAAGACACUCGCAGUAGAUGAUGUUCUGUCCAGGGGUCUACUGAGAAACCACGAGGGUGCAGCAUACUCCCACAGCAACGUGACAGCGUUUGUCGCAUCAGUUGUAAAUAAUCUACCUGCUUCUCCACAGAGAAUGGAGGAUAUCAGUCUGAACACAGAAUCCGACCCACAGCUGCAGUCAGUGUUGUGGUUCAUCAUAAAUGGUUCGCCUGAGUACUUGGAGAAAACCCCUGAAUCUGUAAGAAACAUUUAUCAGGUGAGAGGGGAACUAUCAGAAAAACAUGGACUAGUGAUCAGGGGAAACCGCAUAGUCAUUCCCACAUGCACGAGGAAAGAAAUCCUACAUAGGAUUCAUGAUGGACACCAAGGGCUAGUUAAGUGCAGUGAGAGAGUUUAACCAGUCAGUGGGGUGGUCUAAAAUCUCACAGGAAAUAAUCACAGAGGUGCAAAUGUGUGCAUUUAGCUGUGAAACUAGGAGCACACAGAGGAAGGAGCCAUUAAUGUCUAGUGAGCUUCCUUCCAGACCAUGGCAGAAAAUAGCAAAUAGCAAUGGACCUGUGUGUGUGCAAAAAGCUAAACUACCUAGUAGGUUCAGACUACUAUUCUAGAUUCCUGGAAAUCCUCCACCUCCCAACCACGACCAGUAGCCAGGCCAUAGCCAAGCUCAAAGCAACCUUUGCUAGGUUUCGGAGUCCCUGAGAUCCUGGUAAGCGAUAAUGCCCCCCAGUUGAUAAGUUCAGAGCUAAAAUAACUCAGUAAGGAGUAUGACUUCUUACACCUGACAAGCAGCCUCUGUACAGACUGCCAAGUGGAUACUCAAGCAGACCGACCUCCUGCCCGACCCUGAUGACGUACAGGGCCACUCCCUCAACAUCCAAAGGUUUCAGGCUGGCUGAGAUACGGAUCAAAUCAAAAUCAAAUCAAAUGUUACUUGUCACAUAAACGUGUUUAGCAGAUGUUAUUGUGGGUGUAGCGAAAUGCUUGUGUUUCUAGCUCUAACGGUGCAGUAAUAACUAACAAGUAAUAUCUAACAAUUUCACAAAUCUAAAGUAAAGGAAUGGAAUUAAGAAUAUAUAAAUAUCUGGGCGAGCAAUGUCAGAGCGGCAUAGACUAACAGGCUGAUUACACUGCUCGUGUCGCAAUUAUUGCACCCACUGCUCAACGCACUGCUCCCCUGCAUUGCCGAGGGCAAAAAUAGAAGUCAGUUCUAUUUGUGACGCAGAUCGCGCAGCAAGUCCUGCCUCUCCCAUCUCCUCAUUGGUUUAUAGAAGCAGAUACCCACGUGCCAUCUCCUCAUUGCUUAUAUCCAUGUUGGUGACUGAAAGACUAAUGAGGUCAGUGGCGGUAAUGCACCUAAUUUAUGAAAGUUGCCUAUCGCAAUAUAAAGUCAAGAGAAGAAAAAGCCUAGAAGGAGGAGAGAUGACUAGAAACGAUUCGGUUGACCAUUUUAUGUGUGUGGAUUAAUUGUCGGAGUAGAGGACCUUGUGCAUUUCAGGUAAAAUAACAACUCAAUGUUUGUAUCCCAGGACAAAUUAGCUAGCAACAGCAGGCUAGCUAAAUAGGACAAAUUAGCUAGUAAGUGCAAGCUCGCUAGCUAAAUUGCCAUAAAUGUUAAAUGCUUUUCGACCUGUCCCCAAAUUAAUGUAAUUGGUUCAGAGUUUGUUUUGAUAUUUUAACCUGCGUGUCGUGAUCACGUUUGGUGUGGGGGGACAAAAUACAUUUAUGCACGAUGGCGCACGACAGUAGAAUAGAAUGGAAUAUAGUAUUUAUAUAAGAUGACUAAUACAAAAUAUGUAAACAUUAUUAAAGUGACUAGUGUUCCAUUAUUAAAGUGGCCAGUGAUUUCAAGUCUAUCUAUAUAGGGCAGCAGCCUCUAAUGUGCUAGUGAUGGCUAUUUAACAGUCUGAUGGCCUUGAGAUAGAAGCUGUUUUUCAGUCUCUCGGUCCCUGCUUUGAUGCACCUGUACUGACCUCACCUUCUGGAUGAUAGCGUGGUGAACAGGCCAGGGGCUUGGGUGGUUGUAGUCCUUGACGAUCCUUUUGGCCUUCCUGUGACAGGGUGCUGUAGGUGUCCUAGAGGGCAGAUAGUUUGCCCCCGGUGAUGAGUUGGGCAGACCGGCACCGCCCUCUGGAGAGCCCUGCGGUUGCGGGCGGUGCAGUUGCCGUACCAGGUGGUGAAACAGCCCGACAGGAUGCUCUCAAUUGUGCAUCUGUAAAAGUUUGCGAGAGCUUUAGGUGGCAAGCCAAAUUUCUUCGGCCUCUGAGGUUGAAGAAGUGCUGUUGCGCCUUCUUCACCACUCUGUCUGUGUGGGUGGACCAUUUCAGUUUGUCAGUGAUGUGUACGCCGAGGAACUUGAAUAUAAAUGUAACUGUUACACAAACAGGAAUAGGGACUAAUGUCACACGUUCAGGACGAGUGAGAAAGCCAGUUGAGAGACUGGACCUGUAAAACUUUGAAAAGAAAGAGCACCUCUCCUUAAAAAAGAAAAUAUGAAAAAAAGAAAGGAGAUGGUUAAAAGAGACAUUGAAGGUUGUUAAUUAUGUUUAUGGGCUUACUUGUUGGUUAGCCAAACACGGAACAGUUAAGUUUAAGAUUAAACUGUGGUGUUUAACAUUAUAGUUACAGGUAUGGUUUUGAGAAGAUCAGAAGUUACUUAAUGGGUUGUGCUCACAGUAAAGGUUAAUUUGUGAUUGUAAAUUGUCAUCUUGAUAGCUUCAUUAUGUAAUAACAGUAAAUGGGGUUUGAAUGUAAACAUACCAUUGAUAAACAUUUGGGGAAUGUUUUAUUAAAGAAGGGGGGAUGUGAACAUGGCUAUUUAUCAUAGAGUCUCAUGUAGUUUGUUACUUAGCAUAUAGGUUAUUAAACGUGGCAACACAUUGAAAAUAACCUACGAAUAAAAGUAUCUUAUAUUUAGCUAUAACCAAGGCCAUUACACUAUGUAUAGCCAAAGUAAGAAGCUAAAUAUUAGCUAGAUAUUAGGCCAUUCAUUAGCAAAAUAUUAGGGCUAUAUGCUAAAUAUUUACCUGUCAAAGUGCAAGAAAAAUAAAUGAACAGAUUAUGAAAUGGCAGAUCAAGGUGCGUUCCUCCAAGCUGCGCUCUGUGGUCCCCGGGCAUGCAAAGCUCCACUAUUGAUUAGGCCUAGGCCUAUAUUUUUAGACAAUACAAUUAUUAUACCUGGGCUACAACAACACAAUGCAAAGAGGAAUGUAUUAUUGUUAUCAAGUGCAGUAAACUGCACUGAUGUAAUCUAAUUUGAAUAACCGCCCACACCUCCUGUUUUGUUUCAUGCCGAAAUAACUGCAUAGGCCAACUGCCUAGGCCUGAUUAUACAACUAUUUGGAUCAGUUUGAGUCUACUCUCCACAGCUGAGAAAGCAGGCCACUCAUAUGGUGUAUGCCUAUUUUGUCAGGAUGUAGCUUGCUGUUAAAAUAGACCUACUAUAGGAAAAUAAUGGGCUUCUCCUUUCCAACUCCCCGCCCGUUCAUGCUGUAUCCUAUUUUACAUUCAGCAAGCAAGAACAAGCAUUCAUCUCUCCUCCAAUAGGCUAUUAGCAGGCUAUGUUGAAAUAAGUGUCCAACAAGCUUUUGUAGUCAGGCUUUUCCUGAAAGAUUUACACACCUUGUGGAAAGGCCAGGUGCAAAAUUGCGCAACAGAACAAUGAAGACAGACAUGCUCCAUGAAGACAGACAUGCGCUGGAGGAGAUGGCUGCCGUUUUACGGGCUCUUAAACAAUUGUGCUAUUGUUUGGAGCAGGUGAACCCAAAUGCAGACUCAGACGGGGAGACAAGGAUAGGUAACCAAUGUAUUAAUUUAAAAGCGGGAGAGGAGAUGGGGUGCAGUCCAGGGGAAUCUCCUGUGGGUAGUAGGGAAUCCUGAAUGAGGCUGAGGCUGGGGGCAAGGGGAUUGGGAACCGGAUAAGCAGGUCUGGAGCGGAAUCCAAUGAAGCAGUAGAGCUGGUAUCCAGGUCAGGGAAGCAGGACUGAGGAGACGAGGGACUGGAGACAGGUACCAGAGUCAGAGCAGAUGGGA
rnacentral:lncRNA from 1 species